rnacentral:rRNA from 1 species
GGAGUCUAGCAUGUGCGCGAGUCAUUGGGACAUAACUAAACCUAAAGGCGUAAUGAAAGUGAAGGCCGACCUCGCGUCGGCCGAGGGAAGAUGGGUGCCGCUCAGUCGGUGCCUCGCAUUCCCGGGGCGUCUCGUUCUCACCGCGAGAAGAGGCGCACCAAGAGCGUACACGCUGGGACCCGAAAGAUGGUGAACUAUGCCUGGUCAGGACGAAGUCAGGGGAAACCCUGAUGGAGGUCCGUAGCGAUUCUGACGUGCAAAUCGAUCGUCGGAACUGGGUAUAGGGGCGAAAGACUAAUCGAACCAUCUAGUAGCUGGUUCCCUCCGAAGUUUCCCUCAGGAUAGCUGGCGCUCGCAGUGUACGAGUCUCAUCCGGUAAAGCGAAUGAUUAGAGGCAUUGGGGCCGAAACGGCCUCAACCUAUUCUCAAACUUUAAAUGGGUGAGAUCUCCGGCUUGCUUGAACCGUUGAAGCCGCGAGACACGGAUCAGAGUGCCAAGUGGGCCAUUUUUGGUAAGCAGAACUGGCGCUGUGGGAUGAACCAAACGCCGAGUUAAAGCGCCUAAAUCGACGCUUAUGGGAUACCAUGAAAGGCGUUGGUAACUUAAGACAGCAGGACGGUGGCCAUGGAAGUC